GACGAACGCUGGCGGCGUGCCUAAUACAUGCAAGUCGAGCGAAGUUUUUCUGGUGCUUGCACCUAGAAAAACUUAGCGGCGAACGGGUGAGUAACACGUAAAGAACCUGCCUCAUAGACUGGGACAACUAUUGGAAACGAUAGCUAAUACCCGGAUAACAGCAUUAACUGCAUGGUUAAUGUUUGAAAGUUGGUUUUGCUAACACUAUGAGAUGGCUUUGCGGUGCAUUAGCUAGUUGGUGGGGUAAAGGCCUACCAAGGCGACGAUGCAUAGCCGACCUGAGAGGGUGAUCGGCCACACUGGGACUGAGACACGGCCCAGACUCCUACGGGAGGCAGCAGUAGGGAAUCUUCCGCAAUGGGCGAAAGCCUGACGGAGCAACGCCGCGUGAGUGAAGAAGGAUUUCGGUUCGUAAAGCUCUGUUGUUAGGGAAGAAUGAUUAUGUAGUAACUAUACAUAGUAGAGACGGUACCUAACCAGAAAGCCACGGCUAACUACGUGCCAGCAGCCGCGGUAAUACGUAGGUGGCAAGCGUUGUCCGGAAUUAUUGGGCGUAAAGCGCGCGCAGGUGGUUUAAUAAGUCUGAUGUGAAAGCCCACGGCUCAACCGUGGAGGGUCAUUGGAAACUGUUAAACUUGAGUGCAGGAGAGAAAAGUGGAAUUCCUAGUGUAGCGGUGAAAUGCGUAGAGAUUAGGAGGAACACCAGUGGCGAAGGCGGCUUUUUGGCCUGUAACUGACACUGAGGCGCGAAAGCGUGGGGAGCAAACAGG
rnacentral:rRNA from 1 species